rnacentral:rRNA from 1 species
GAUUUCUGGUUUAAUGCACCUGGCCCGCGGCCAACAGGCUUGUGAGUGCCGGCGCGCGUUUACCAUCCUUCUAGAAAUCUGCUCUGCCAUUCACUUGGUGGGGUAGCGAUCUAGAUCUUUUACUUUGAAAAAAUUAGAGUGUUUAAAGCAGGCUUUUGCUAUGAAUACAUUAAUUUUGUUGGUUUCUAUAACUGAAGUAAUGAUUGAUAGGGACAGUUGGGGGUGCUAGUAUUGGCCGGCCAGAGGUGAAAUUCUUGGAUUCGGUCAAGACUAACUUAUGCGAAAGCAUU